rnacentral:rRNA from 1 species
GACGAACGCUGGCGGCGUGCUUAACACAUGCAAGUCGAACGGAAAGGCCCUGCUCUUGCGGGGUGCUCGAGUGGCGAACGGGUGAGUAACACGUGAGUAUCCCGCCCCUGACUUUGGGAUAAAUUCAGGAAACAGGGGCGAAUAUCGGAUAGGAGCUCCUGCUGCACGGGGGGGGUUGGAAAGUUUCGGCGGUUGGGGAUGGACUCGCGGCUUAUGAGCUUGUUGGUGGGGUAGUGGCUUACCAAGGCUCUGACGGGUAGCCGGCCUGGGAGGGUGGCCGGCCACAUUGGGACUAAGGUACGGCCCAGUCUCCUACGGUCCGCAGCAGUGGGGAAUCUUACGCAGUGGGCCGAAGCCUGAUACAACGACGCCGCGUGCGGGAUGACGGCCUUCUGGUUGUAAACCACUUUCGCCUGUGCCGAGGCGUGAGUGACGGUAACGGGUCAAGAAGCCCCGGCUAACUACGUG